CAAGAAAGCUCGACCCAUCUGUAAACCAUUCAGCAUCCGGGUUGUCAGGAGAAACGUCCCUCAAGUCAGGUUGGCCGGAGUGGACAGAAUCUAAAGCUUCCUCCUGAUUAUGACUGAUUAUGACUGAUGUCUCCAGACUGAGUGCUGUCAGGGAGCAGAGGGGCAGGACUGUGAGAGUGUGACACGCCCGGAGCCUCAGCUCGGGGUGUCUAGCGGGUGAGCCUGGAUCUCACUUUAUAUCAUCCCCACCUCAGGCCAUCACCCCAAAUUCAUUUGGGGGAAAGGGAUGAAGGUCUCAUCUUCUAGAGCUGCUUCAAGCUGACAAGGGCUGUAGAGCUGUCCCUAUGCUCAAUGGAGGUUCAGGCCAGGAGGGGAAGGGUGAGAUCUGAAGAUGGCAGCAGCAACAUCCAGGGGAUGCCAAGUAUCCAAGUUAGCCGUCCCGUGAUCUUCAGACUGAAUGAGCAGCUGGAAGUUCGCAGCUUGGAGUCUGGAGGAAAACAAAUCUCACAAGCAGAAAGCUCGACCCAUCUGUAAACCAUUCAGCAUCCGGGUUGUCAGGAGAAACGUCCCUCAAGUCAGGUUGGCCGGAGUGGACAGAAUCUAAAGCUUCCUCCUGAUUAUGACUGAUGUCUCCAGACUGAGUGCUGUCAGGGAGCAGAGGGGCAGGACUGAGAGUGUGACACGCCCGGAGCCUCAGCUCGGGGUGUCUAGCGGGUGAGCCUGG
rnacentral:lncRNA from 1 species